GUUUAAUUUGGCUACAAAAUUUGUGGUGCCCAUUAUUGGGUUACCAUUACAUACAGCUACAAACAGCAUGAAAAUUAAGUUUAUGUUAUUUCUUUCACAUUUUACCUGCUGCUUCCUGAUCAUGGAUACUUCGGACAUCCUAGUACAAAUCCUAUCCGAAGAGUCUCCGGAUGAGAUCCUGGAUCAUUACACCGAAGAUGUCAUUCCAACCCAGCUAGUGAGACGCAGCUCUAGGAUAGCAGCGAGGAAUCCUUUUUCCAUCAACGAAUGGCCCAUAGAAAGGAUCCUGUCCACCUUGUACUAUCUUAACGUACAAGUGCCUCCGAAUCUGGAUCAUGAUCAGCUCUUGACUCUUUUACAGAAGUCAAUCAAGACCCGCAGCCCCCAUCUACCAACGCAGUAUCUUCUCUUCCCCGAUCUACUGGCCGUAAAGCCUCGGAGAAAAGAAAAAAUAUCUCCACAGAUCAAGACAGGAUUCUCUCAGCGCUGCUGUCAGUUCAAGGAACCCUCUCCGCCAUGGACAACAGGAUCCAGGCGCUGGAAUCACAGCGCUCAUCUCCUGUACCUCGGGCGGCGGUUGACGGACAGACUUCCAGCUCAACAUCAAACCGUGCCAUUACUCCCGAUUUGGCUCUUCCUAGUAGAUCUCUCGGAUCAGCUUUACCUGCCGCUUCCACUGGGCUGCCCUUCUUCCCCCCCAGCAGCUGCCAUUUCUCCCCAUCUGUGCGCUCAAAUCCUGUCAGGUAACGACAUUAACUUGGUUAAAAUAUUGCUAUGUGCAGAAACUAACAAAAGAAGGAUCGUGGAUUGUGGAGAUAUAUCUGUCAUUCUAAAAGAUAACGAUCCAAGACUCACCAAAAGUUUAACCAUGGCAGAAUUUAACGUUGCUUUCGGAGUGUUAAGAGACAUUAUCUGUGAGGAGUAUCCAGACAGGAGGAAGGAAUUAGAUACUUAUCUAGCCAUCAUUUCGGAUCUCGCUAUGUCUUACGGAGGCACACUAUUCUACGAAUAUCACAAAUCAUUCUCAUCUAAAGCCGCUAUGUACAUACACCGCUUUAAUCAGAAACUGGACUGGUCUGUGGUCGAUCUAGCACUCAUUAGCAGACACUUUACGGGCCACCGAGCAUUGUCAUGCUCUCUCUGCAGUUCAUUUUCCCACACCGCAUCUCUCUGCCCUAAGACUGCGUCAACUUACGACACUAGCGCUUCGGCGCCAGAACAGGUGAAGCCUGGAAGACAAACCCCUAUUUGUUAUAAUUUCAAUGAGAAUGUUUGUACUCGUUAUAAUUGCAAAUUUUUUCAUGCUUGCAACUAUUGCGGGAACAGUCACCCAAGGUUUUCUUGUCCACGCCGCACAAAAUUCCCAAAAAAGAAAUAAA
ensembl:lncRNA